GGGUUGUUGGUCUAGUGGCAUGAUUCUCGCUUUGGGUGCGAGAGGCCCGGGUUCGAUUCCCGGACAAGAACCU
rnacentral:tRNA from 1 species